rnacentral:snRNA from 1 species
AUAAAUUUUCUGUUCCAACUAAAAUUGGACAUUAGCAUGGCCCCUGUGCAAGUAUGACAGGCAAAUUUGUGAAGCAUUCCAUAUUAAA